rnacentral:rRNA from 1 species
AGAGCGAACGCUGGCGGCAUGCUUAACACAUGCAAGUCGCACGAGAAAGGGACUUCGGUCCUGAGUACAGUGGCGCACGGGUGAGUAACACGUGAAUUAUCUACCUCCGAGUGGGGAAUAACUGAGAGAAAUCUUAGCUAAUACCGCAUAACACUUACGAGUCAAAGCAGCAAUGCGCUUGGAGAGGAGUUCGCGGCAGAUUAGUUAGUUGGCGGGGUAAGUGGCCACCAAGACGAUGAUCUGUA